UUACUUUGAUUGGAGGGGAAAUUUCAGGGUUCAUUCAACUGGAUUUUGAGCAUAUCAAUAAAGAAUAAGAGGAAGAACAAAACUUCCCUUUUUACUCCUCCGAAUCGGAAAGAAAACUUAAUCGGAGGAAGAGAGUAACAGAUAAACAAGAAGAUGAGUAUCCCAUUUCUUCUCUCUAUUUUGUUUCAAGCAGAUUCCUUCUUUUUGUUCAAUGUAUUUAUUCUCCGAUUCCAAUUUCCUUCUUGAUAAUUGGAGAGAAUCCGAUGAGUGUUCCAUUUUCUUCUUCCAUCUGUUUUGUCAUUUAACUUCUUCUCUGUAUUUUUUCUUUUGCAUCAUUAUGAAAAACAAAAUGGAAGAGGUUACAAUUUUGAUAGUUUCUGACGAUGCUUGAUUCAGUGCCAACAGUGAGAGAGAUAGCCACAAAGGCUCUAAAUCUACACUGUUAGAAACAAGGGGUUAUGAGCUAUUGUAGGAGGUAGACUAUCCUUUUCCUAUAGGAAAAAGAAGGGAAUUUGGCAAGAAAAAUAGAAAACUCACUCAAUUUUGAUCCCAGAAUUUUUUAAGGGAAAUGAAAUUAGAAAAUGUUGAUGACAAAUCUGGUUCAACAGAGAAUAAAAAUUCCAAAGAUGAAGCAUCUAAAGAAACUCUUCAACUUGGGGUUGGGGUUGGUUUUCUAGCUAAUCCUUCUGAUUUCUAAGCAAUGAGUGGUCUUCUCAAUUAAUCUUUUAAAGAUCGUUAGAGCUCACCAUAUGGGAUGUCAAUAUGCCAUAUGAUCCAAGUAUCAAGGAAUUGGUUGAAUAUUGUUGGUUGCAACAAUUGCACUACAUUGAAAUUCAAGUAGUCAGAAAGUUCAAAAGACCACUAUACAAAAGGUUAGAAAAUACUACCAAUAAAUGCAAUCAUUUGUAAUAUCGUUCGAGUAUGAUUUCGGGCCUCAAUAAUGCAGCUCCACAUAUGUCAUACCCCAAUUUUGUCUGGUAUUUUAAAUUCAUCUGAUACAUGUUCGUUUGUUAAGUUUUUAAUUUUUAACCAUAUGCAUUUUUAUCAUAAAAAAGUCACCAUAAUCAUGCAUAUAUGCAUUAUAGUAAAAAAAGUCAACAUUUUACAUGUUGAAGAAAUUGACUAAAAUUACAUU